rnacentral:rRNA from 1 species
GCCAGACUCCUACGGGAGGCAGCAGUGAGGAAUAUUGGUCAAUGGUCGGGAGACUGAACCAGCCAAGCCGCGUGAGGGAGGAAGGUACAGAGUAUCGUAAACCUCUUUUGUCAGGGAACAAAGGCGGGGACGUGUCCCCGGAUGAGUGUACCUGAAGAAAAAGCAUCGGCUAACUCCGUGCCAGCAGCCGCGGUAAUACGGAGGAUGCGAGCGUUAUCCGGAUUUAUUGGGUUUAAAGGGUGCGCAGGCGGUCUGUUAAGUCAGCGGUAAAAUUGCGGGGCUCAACCUCGUCGAGCCGUUGAAACUGGGUGCCUUGAGUGGGCGAGAAGUAUGCGGAAUGCGUGGUGUAGCGGUGAAAUGCAUAGAUAUCACGCAGAACUCCGAUUGCGAAGGCAGCAUACCGGCGCGCAACUGACGCUCAUGCACGAAAGCGUGGGUAUCGAACAGGAUUAGAUACCCCAGUA